UCAAAUGCUAAUUUUUAAAAAUAUUAAAAUAAAAAUAAGAAAAGAAUCCUACUCUAAAUAAAAUAAAAAAAAUAAAUCCUAAAUAAACUAAAUUAGCAAAAAAUUAAAUUUAAUAAAAUACAAUCCUAGAUGCUCUUACGUCAUUUUCCUCGGGUCAGAAAAAAACUCGACUCUGACGAAUAAGCCUUGACAUACUUCUCGUUGAUGUCUGAAUCCAUAUAUUGUCAUAGUUCAUACCAGCCAUUUGAUCAAUUCAUCCAUUGUUUUGAAAGUUUUUUUCCAUUCAUUUCCAAGUCGUAUUCGAAUUUGUUGAUAUCCUUUCUUCAAAUCGAUCUUCAAAAACACUCUAGAGCCAAUGAACAUGUCAUCCAAUCGAGGGAUAGAAAAAUCACACUUAACUGUAGUCUUGUUAACGGCAUGGUUGUCCACAAAGCUUUUCGAUAAGUUUCCCGAUCUUUGGUUGACCAAUUUUGUUUGACCAUACUUGGAUAAGGGUGAAGAUACUUCAUUCUCCUUAGAGUCUAAUAAGAGGCAUAAAUGGUUUGACUCAUGAUAAGCUUUAUUUAAACCAGACACAGUGAUAAGUGCGUUAUCUUCCUCUUGUCUCUUUGGUUGGUUUUCUGGUUUUAAUGGAGUUAACAUAAUUUUUACUCCAUCCUUAAUGAAGGAAUAAGUAUUCUUGUAUUCAUCAUGGUAAGCUUGACGAUCAUAUUGCCAUGGACGUCCUAACAACAAGUGGCAUGCGUCCAUUGGAAUAUCAUCACACCAGACUUCAUCUUCAUACUUAUUUCUAAUAGAGAAUUGAACACAACAACGUCUUGUUAACUUUACUUCGUUUCCUUUUCUCAACCAUUGUAGCUUGUAAGGAUGAGGAUGUAUUUCAAUUGGAAGUUUCAACUUUUCCAGCAUAUAGUUAGCAACAACAUUCUCACAACUUCCACUAUUAAUAAUGACAUUACAAACCUUCCCUUGGGAUGUGCACCUUAUAUAGAAUAUGUUACGACGAAGCCAACUUUCAUCUUUAAUCAUCAUGACAGUGUUAAGGUUACGACGAACAACAAGAGCUUCUCCAUGGUCAGCAGAAACUUCUUCUAUCCUCUUGUCAUCAUACUCAUCAUAGACUGGUUCUAAUUUUUCCUAAUUUACAUAAUCUUCUUCUUCAGAGGACGAAUUUUGAUGAAACGGGUUAGUGUCAUUCUCUUCAUUACUAGAGCUGUUAUUGUUGAUUUGAGCAUCAUGUCUUGCGAGUUGCUCUUGUAAUUCUUGAAUUUGCUGACGUAGUUCUGUAAUCUCAAUCUCGUGAUAAUCUCUUUGACAAUUUUGAUGUCUUGGUGGCAUUUUAUUAUAUGGUGAUGACGAUGUGGUGGUAUAGAGAAAAAAAAUGAUGAUAUAACUAUAAAGUAAUAAAUAAAAUUACCCGAAUAGAGAGUAUAAAAACUCGACAGCGAUCUUGAACUUAUGUAGCGAACAAUGAUCCUCCCGCUUUGACACUAAACUGACGCCGGUGCGUUGUAAAGACACCUAGGCGUUGUGAAAGACACCAAUCGUGAUGAGGUUGAAAACCCUACUAAGGUGAAUCACCAAUCUUGGCAAGGUUAAAAACCCCACUAAGGUGAAAAAUAGCCAAAAUCCCAUUUUGGUUGGCUAGGCCAAAGAUAUUAAAACCUCUUACUCUUUAGAAAGAGCUUAGAGAAAUAAGCAUUCUUGCUUAAAAAAUAUUAUUUAUUAACUCUCAACUCUGAAUGUCUUACAACUAAGUUCAAGGGUCCUAUUUAUAGUAUUAUAGACCUAAAUCCUAAUAAAACUCUACUUUAUAUUGUCUAAUACAAUUAGAAUAGUUAAUAAGAGAUUUAAAUAAAAUAGGUAUUCUAUUCCUAAAUAGAACAUGACAUCCUAAUCAAAUAUUAAUUUUUAAAAGUAUUAAAAUAAAAAUAAGAAAAGAAUCCUAAUCUAAAUAAAAUAAAAAAAAUAAAUCCUAAAUCAACUAAAUUAGUAAAAAAUUAAAUUUAAUAAAAUACAAUCCUAAACGCUACUGCGUCAGUUUCGAACUCAUCCUUGUAGUUCAAGAACAACAAUUUGUCAGUGAUGUUCGACCUCCAUAUUUUUGGAUUCUCCCAUUUGCUUCGUGUUGUAUGAAGAAAUUCUCCAGAACUUCUGCAUUCUUCAGAAAAAACUCAACCAUUUGCAUCUCAUUUUUUCUACCUUGGAAUGCCAAAAUUUUAAGUGUCUUGAGUUGAGAAGGAAAUCUAUUGGGAAGCAGCAGAUCUCUGAUGACGUUGUGCGGAUGGUGCAGAGAAACCUGAACAAGAAAUUAAUAGAUGGAUUCAUACAUGCCACUCUAUGGAAUCAGUACUAAUUAUAUUGAAUUAUAUUUCAUUUCAUACGUUAAAAUCAAGAGCUUCUAGACAAGGAAAACAUGCGAGUAAAUCAGGUAGCAGUCUUUCCCACCCAACAAAGAAGUGGCCAUCAAGAUUCAAAUAAGUCACUUUAGGCAACUCAGGGAUUACGAUAUUGCCUUGUGGGAAAACCUUCAGCAAAAAGACAAUAAUUGUUACUUGUUAGUACAAUUUUCUACUAGAAAAAUGAUCAGAUCAUUCUUUUGUAACAGAAAUUCUGGGUGAAGAAAACUAACCUCUCUAAGAAUAGCAUAUAUACGAAGUGACUUAACAUUACAAAUGCCUUUAAAUAGAUCAGUUACAACUGUAUUAUAGCAAUGAAAAUCUAUCUCGAAACCGAAAUCUGCUUAGACCAGAGAGUUAAGAUUUUUCAAUAAGAAUCUUUUUGGUAGGUAAAAGCAUUUGAAGAAAACAAGGUUAGGGGCAUCAAUCACAAUCUCAUUACGGUUGAAUCCCGAUGAGGUCAGUCUCUUCAGUGUAGGGAUAGAAACAUUGAACCUGCACCUUGUUUCGAACACGGUGCAUCCUACAUCCAAUUCCUAAUCUUCAUCUAGAAGUCUAAAGACAGAAAGAUGAAGAAUGUUGAGGCUAGGCAAACAAAUCUUAACAGGCACUUUCAGGUCAAAGAUGUGCGCCACUGAGAUUGUGCAAUCUUAAUGCCACCAAUAUCAUGCAAGUAGAUACCCCAGCAGGCAGCAUAUUGAACUCUACACAACCAAGAGAUAAAUCAAGCUCUCUAACAUCGUUCAGCAAUGCAUACCGUAUCCAUUCAUCAACUCGAUAAGCAUCAAAAAUAAAUCUUCUACAUUCGAUACGAAAUUUAUCCACUACCCCCGUAUGGUGAAAUAGAACUUGAUCCACGAAAUUCAUGAAGCUAUAACUAUUUGUGAAAGGAUCAUCGAACUUAAGAUUAGACAUCAAAGUAGAAAUCUUACUCCACCUUGUCGAAAGAAUAGAGGUGCACACUGCUUGUUUCAACGGAAGAAAUGAGAUUAUAUGACAAAGAAGAUCGUCAGGCAAACUGCUGAUCCUGUCUACUACUUUGCUAACUUCAGCUGGCCUAGCCAUCAGAAAAGGAACUUCAACUACAGCAAAAAACCCUGAAAUAUUUCACCAGGAUAAGGCUUUGCAAAACCUUGUUUGCCUUUUCAGUUUAUUUUUAUAUCAGAUAUCAUCUGCUAUAUAUAUAGAGAGAGAGAAAGGGAGAAAACCCUUCGUUAACUGAGAGUCAAGAAGCCUAGUUCCACAGGACACGGAUACCCCAGAGUGAUAAAACCCUAGUUUGCUUUCCUUCAUGAUCACGGCACUCUGUUUUUUUUUAAAAUUUUAUUUAUUGUUAUAAUUAUUAAUGAAAGAGUAAGGGCGAUGCAACUCUUGGAGAACAUGGUCAUUGGUCUCCAUGCAUUUAUGCAAAAUCUCAAUUACUGGGGGGUAAUUAUAUUGAAAUAAUGUCCUUUUAGUUCACCCAAAGUUGAAUUUAUUCAUUAUAGAAUAUAAAGCAGUUUGAUAGAGAUAUCAUGAUAUUGAAAAAUAGAGACCAACAAUUGAAUUUUAAGUUGGAAGAUUUACCCUUCCCUACUCAAGAAUCCGGAUCGAAUUUCUUUUCAUCUAAAAAAGAAAAAGAUAAAUCGGAUCUAAUGAACUUUUUUACAGAAAACAAGUCAUAAUUAAAAUUUUGAGUUAACUUCACUUACAUCUCUUGUGAUUUCAACUUUUCUUCAGCAUGACAUGUCAUGAUUUUUUAUAAAAUUUUUAAAUGAGCAUAAUUAAGAUAAAAUCGAAUUAACCUAAUUUUUUGGAUUAAUUCGAUUAAUUACUUAUUUCAAUUAAAAAACUGAGUUAAAUUAUUUAUUAAUCGAAAUAAAGGAUCUACUUCAUGGAUACUAGCCUUAGAAAUUUGAAGUUAGCUGCAAUGUUAACCACACAAAUUGAUAACCAUGACUACCACACAGCAAUAUAUCAAAGAGAUAACUCAACCUAGAAGAAACAUUGAGAAAUUUAUUAGACAAUUACAACUUUGCAUUUCUUUGAAGCUCUUUGUGACCUGAGCAGUUCUUUAGCGAUCUUCCUUUGCAACUUCUGUUUUGCAUACAUACGUAUCAUCAGAUUUUCCAGAACUUGUGCAUGCUUCAGAAAAUACUUAACCAUUCGCACUUCAGAUUCUGUCCAUCGGAAUGACAGUAAUUUAAUUGCCUUGAUACGAGAUACCAAACAAGGGGGCACUUCCUUUGGUGGAUUCAUGAAUUUCUCUGGAGAGUCUAAAAGUUCCUGCAGAGAAGAGAAAUAACUUCACUAAAACUUGCUUCUGCUGCAUAGUCUAAGAUGGAUUGAGAUAAAGUUCUACUUUCAUUCAUACGUCUAAGACAAACACAAUGGUCUCUAAGCAAGGAGUAUGAUCAAGCAAUCUUUCCCAACUUUCAUGGUAGCACCCAUUAAUCUUCAAGUAAGUAAUGUUUUCCAACAUAGGGAUUGGACCCCGAUCAAAAAGAACAGCCUUCAAAAGACAACAAACUUUGUAGAGCUUAAUUAGUUAUAAUUUUCUGCUAGAAAAAAAUUCAUCAAUAAGAAGUUUAUGCAAUUAGUUUGGUGUAUAGGAAAAAAAAUCAACAAGAAACUAGUAUCAGAAAACAAACCCCUGAAAGUGGACUAGAUAAAUGAAGGGAUCGAACAUGACUAAUCCCUCUGAGCAGAUCAGUUGCAUCAUAAUUAAGGAGAUGAGUAUAGAAAGCUAGUCCAAAAUCAAUAUAGACUUCAACCAGAGAGUGGAGAUCUAUUAAUGAAUGGUAUUUUGCUAUAAAGUGAAUGUAGUUGAAGUACUCCAGACUUGGUGCAUUAAUCACGAGCUUAUGAUCAUAUUCAUAAAGCCAUUGAUAAUUGCUUAUGGUCAGUCUCUUGAGUGUAGAGUUACAAACUAUGAAUUGUCUUAUCCACUUGAAAUUGCAAGUUUUUACAACCAAUUCCUCAAGCCUGGAGCAGCUAGAAAAGAGCCUUUGAACAGAAGCAUCAUCUUUGAGUUUAAUUAACUCUAGGUGGAGAAUCUUGAGUCCUGGAAGACAAACGUUACCAGGGAUUUCUGGAAAGACAAUGCCUUCCAUCUGCAAUUUCAAUGUCACCAAUGUCUUGCAAGUAAAUAUCCCUUCAGGCAGCACCUCAAAACGGCGCUUUGAGAAGCCUGGUGCAAGCUCAAGGUCAAGCUCUCUAACGUUAUGCCACAGUGCAUAAUGUACCCAUCCAUUGAGCCGCAAAUAUUUCACACGUACUCUAGGUUUGAAACGAAACGUUUCUACAUCCCCCUUACGAGCAAAGAGAACUCUAUCCACAACUUCCUCGAAUCCAUAACGGUAACGCUUUACAGGUUCGUUGUUAUCAUCAAUGUUAAGUCUCGAGAUCAAAGUAAAAAGAUUCUUCCACCUUCUUGACAGGAUGGACGUUCGAACUGUUUCUCUUAGUGGAAGAGAUGAGAUGAUACGACAAAGAAGUUCAUCACUUAAAUCACUUAUCCUGUCUGUCUCUGUUUCUCCCCUGCCGCAGUUCUCAAAUGGACAACUUCUCACCAUAAGGAAUUCAACAGAAUAACAUAAGAAAAAUCUAAAUUUUCUAGAUUGUACAUUGUUACCUAGGUGAAGGAGUUGUAUAUAUAUACAUCUAGGGCUAACCUAUCUAACCCUAACUAAACAUUGUAGGAAAAAUAUAUAGGGCUAAUCCUAUCUAACCCUAACUUAAUAUGGUAAUAGAACUAUGUAACAGUAUUGCUUAAUAACUCUAAUUUUGAUAAUUUUUAUACACGAAGUGACGUGGUGAAACAUAGCAUACAAAAGGUGAUGUGUACGAAACUUGAUAGAAAAGGGUAUUGAAUUAAGCAGAAAAAAGUAUUGAAUAAUGUAAAGUCAUAAGUAAUCUUUGUUUGUAUUCAUUGUUAUAUCAAUUUUUUCACAUGACCUCACGUAAUUUCUUCUCUAUUCACUUUGUGAAUAAGUUAUAUUUGCGUAAAGAUUAUACCCGUUAAUUUCAUUCAAAAAAAUUAUCAAAAUACCACCAAUUAAAAAAUUAACCUAUUUAUUCGCGCACUCAAGCAUUGGAGUAUAUAAAAUUAUAAGGGUAAAUUACUAGACUUGUUUAAGUUCUAUAAUUAUUAUUAGUAACAAAUGGGAAACGUGUAUCACUAAUCUUGGAUGGAAAAUUUUUCAUGAAUCCCUUCUCUGAAAUAAAACUAGUUGUCCUUUUCAAUUUAAAAACUGACUUAAGGUUAAAUGCAUGGCUUGCAGGAUUCCAAGAAAGAGUUUUCUAUAUUAUGCUAAGGUAGUCCCCUGAGGAUAAAUGCAGAAGCAGAAAUACAACUGUUGUGUGUCUAACCUCGCGAAGGUGGCAACCACUAAGGUGAAUAAUGGCCCAACUCUCGCUAAGCCAACAACCACUAAAUGAUGGUCAAACUCUCACUUUGGUUUGACAUACAAAUAAAAUAAAAAUAUUAUUUUAUGAUAUAAUUCUUAUGUAAAACUUAGAUAAUAAUAAUCUAAUUAUAUACUUCUAUACCAAUGGUAUAGUUAAACAUCAUCAGUAUCAAAUUUGGCUUGACUGACAGGAGCCAGAUAUAUAUGCAAAUUUGAGCCUGCAAACAGCAUGCUCAUAAGGCAACCCAUGGAUGAUUAGAAUUCCAAGAAGGAACAGAACAAUUACUUGCCUCAUAAAUCAAUGCUGAAUUGGAAAAUUAACUCGACAUUGGUAAGUUUAUAUGGUUGUGAAAAUCUGACAACCAUCACUAUCAACCUACAUCAGUUCAUAAGAAAAGGUUUUGAGAAACUGGUCAAACAAGCAAGACUUUACAAUUCUUGGAGGCUUUUGGUAACUUCAACAGUUUUUUAGUGAUCUUUGACCUCCAUUUUUCUGGUUUCGGCCUUUUUCUUUCUCUAGGCUCUACUGAGAGAUUCUCCAGAACUUCUGCAUUCUUCAGAAAAAACCCAACCAUUUGCAUCUCCUUUCUACCUUGGCAUGACAAAAUCUUAAGUGUCUUGAGUUGAGACCAUAGACAGGAAGGAAAUCUCUCGGAUGACGGUACCUCUUUGACGAUUUCUAUAUUGACCUGAACAAAUUAUAUGGAUUUAGAACAAAUCAUAUUAUAUGGAAUUAGAACUAAUUAUAUUGAAUUAUAUUUCGAUUCAUUAUACGUACCUUAAGGACAAGAGCUUCUAGACGAGGAAAAGAGGCGAGUAAAACUGGUAGCAUGCUUUCCCACCCAACAAAGAAGCAGCCAUCAAUACUCAAAGAAGUCAAUUUAGGCAACUCAGGGAUGACGAUUUUACCUUGUGGGAAAACCUUAAGGAAAAGGCAAUAGUUGUUACUUGUUAGUGCAGUUUUCUACUAGAAAAAUCCAUCAACAAGAAGUUCAUUCUUUUUGUAAUAGAAUACUAGGGUUGAAGAAAACUAACCUUUCCAAAAAGACCACAUAUACGAAGUGAUUUAACAUUACAAAUGCCUUUAAAUAGAUCAGUUGCAGCUGUAUUAUAAGAGGUAAAAGUGUUAGCAGAUUCAAGAACUUUCCCGAACUCGAUAUCUGCUUCGACAAGAGAGCUCAGAUUUUUGUGGAAGAAUCCUUUUGGUAUUUGACGGCAUUUGAAGUAGACAAGGCUAGGGGCAUCAAUCACAAUCUCAUAAUCUUUGUAAGCUCUCUCAUGAAAGACUAUGGUCAGUCUCUUCAGUGUAGGGAUAGAAAUAUUGAAUCUGCACCUUGUUUUCAAGAUGCAACGGUCUACAACCAAUUCCUCAAGCAGCGAACAGCUAGAAAGGAGUCUAUUUAUUGGAUCAUCAUCCAGAAGUCCAAUACCAGAAAGAUGAAGAAUCUUGAGACUAGGCAAACGAAUCUUAACAGGCACUUUCAGGUCAAACAUGCACCUCUUGUGACUGUGCAAUCGUAAUGCCACCAAUGUAUCGCAAGUAAAUACCCCGAUAGGCAGCAUGUUGAACUUUUUACAAGCUACGGAUAAAUCAAGCUCUCUAACAUCGUUCUGCAAUGCAUAUCGUAUCCAUCCUUCAAGUCGAUAAGAAUCAACAAACCCUCCACAUCUGAUACGAAAUUUAUCCACAACCCCUAUAUGGUAGAACAAAACUCGAUCCACAAAAUUCAUGAAAUUAUGACUAUCUGACUUUCUCCUUGUAAAACUAUCCUCCAAGUUAAGAUUAGACAUCAAAGUAGAAAUCUUACUCCACCUUUUUGAUAGAAUAGAUGUGCAAACUGCUUGGUUCAAUGGAAGGAACGAAAUUAUGUGACUAAGAAGUUCGUCAGGCAGACUGCUGAUCCUGUCUGCUACUUCGCUAACUUUAACUUGCUUAGCCAUCAGUAAAAGAAUUACAAUCAACUUCAGCCAGAAAAAACCCAGAAAUUUUUCACCAGGAUGACGCCUGGCAUGCGAAACCUUGUUUGCCUUUUAACUUCUAUAUCAGAUUUCGUCUGCUACAUGUAUACAGUUCUCUUUCAAUACAGAAAACCCUGUUUCUUUCAAUUCAGAGAACCCUGUUUUCUUUGACUGAGGGUCAAGAAUCCUAGGUUCUUUAGGACAAGGAUAUCCCGGAAAGACUGAUAACACCCUAGUUUGGUUUUCCUUCAUGAUCACGGCAAACUCUUUUUCCUUUUUAUCUUCUUCUUAUAAUUAUUAAUGGAAGAAUAGUGGCGGUGCAACUCUUGGAGAACAUGGUCAUUGCCUCAUUGGUCUCCAAGCAAAUUCUUUAUUUAAUUUAUUUUUAUGCAAAAUCUAAACCAUUAGGGGAUAAAUAUAUUAAAGUAAUGCCCUUUUUAUUCACCCAUGGUUGAAUUUAUCCAUUACAUAAUACAAAGUACUAACUAUUGAAUUUUUAAAUUGGAUGGUAUACUCUCUUAAGAAACAAGUUCGAAUCUCUUUUCAUCUAAAAAUAAAAAAAAAUGUAAAGAUAAGAUUGGAUUUUAUGAACUUUUUAUUGAAAACAAGACAUAAUUUAUUACGAGAAUUUUUUCAGAUAAUUUGAUUAAUUGAUUAAUUCAAUUUAAAAAUUCAAUUAAUUUUGCUAUUGAUUGAUUUAAAUGAUCUAAUUGGAUUAAUCAAUUAAUUUAGGAUCUGUUUAUUUUGAUGUAAAAUAUUUUCAGAAAACAUUUUCAAGACUUAUAUUUGUUUGAAAUGCAAAAAAAUUAUUUUAAAUAUAAAACAUUUUACAAGUCAUUGGAAAAAACAAUCAUUGACCACAAAAAAUGUCUUACGCCUAUUAGGGGUGUAAGACAUUUUCCAGAUAGCAUGAAAAAAACUUUUAUACUAAGCUUAAGUAUAUAGAUUUGAUGAAUAUUAAUAUUCAACUUAAAAUAUUAAAAAAAUUAAAAUAUAUUAAUAUUUAACUUAAAAUUUUUUAACUUAAAAUAUUAAUAUUUAAAUUAUUCAAUACUAUUAAAAUUAAAAAUUAUUUUUUAAUGAAACCAUUCAAUGCAAUUAAAUUUUUGUUUAUAAAUUGAAUAAAUUUUACUAAUAAUUAUAAUAAAAAAUAUUUCAAUGAUAUGAUUAAUACAUAUAAGUAUAUAUAAAUUUUGGAUGUCUUACACAAUUCAUAAAUAUUGAUAUUUUUAUAGUGAAUACACAUAAAUAUAAGUUUUAGAUGUCUCACAAUUGAUAAAUAUUGACAUUUUUAUAGUGAAUACACAUAAAUAUAGGUUUUGUAUGUCUUAUACAAUUGAUAAAUAUUGAUAUUUUUAGAGUUAUGGUAAAAAAGUGAUGAGAUAGAAAUUUUUUUGAAAAUUGAAGAUUACUUUAAUUAUAAACUAUUAUUGUAUAAGAGUUAAAAUCAUAUGAAUAAUUGUAUUCCUAAUCAUUAAAUAAGUACUUAAAUGUGAGCAUGCUUAAUUGAUUAUGCAAGUACUAUAGGUAAUAGCGGAGCAAAAAUGGUUCGUGCCCUCAUGGAUGCAAAGACUAUAACUCAACAAAUAUGAUUUCAUAAGUUAGAAAAAGUCAAUUUGAGACAAAAGGCAACAAUCUAAUUUAUUGUUUGAAAUCUCAUGGUUGAGGAUAAGAUAACGAAAUUGAUAGAAAAAAAUAUAAAUGAUAGAAUUGAUAAAGGAAAUAGAGAUGAUAGUGGAGAUCAUACGGAGAAAUUGAUGAAUUCAAAAAUGAAAAACACAAGUGUGAGAGACCUUAAACCCAUAUGUUUAGAGCUAAAGACCACAAAGAUCAAACCCAUGUUUAGAAGCUUCAACCAACCCACAUGUCAUUCAACUGAACCUCUAAACGACACCACAUGUCAUUCAACUGAACCUCUAAACGACACAAACUAUCACUGAUGCAAGGAUAAGACACUAAAAGCUUCCUUUUAUAUAUAGUUAUAGAUAUAUUGAUUUUACCAAUUUUCAUAUCCAUGAUGCAAGGAUAAGACACUAAAAGCUUCCUUUUAUAUAUGGUUAUAGAUAUAUUGAUUUUACCAAUUUUCAUAUCCAUUAUUUAUUUUGAUCCCACAUUAAUACUUUAUAAUGAACUCUUAUUUAUCAUUUUAAGGUCCACAUAACUCUUAUCAUUUUAAGAUUCACACUCUUAUUUAUAGAAAAUAUUUUUCAGGGGAUGAACGACAGAAAAUGUUUUCCACUCAUGAUAGCGAAAAAAAUGUUUUCCAUUUGUGAUAGCGAUGGGAUGAUCUAAACGAUAGAAAACGUUUUGCACUAGUGGAAAAAAAUUUUUUCCACUUGUGAUAGCAAACAAUAUUUUCCAUCGAUGAAAAUAUUUUUGAUAGUUUAUAAAAACAAUAAAAAACAUUAAAUUUUUUUCAGUUACCAAAAGGAUUCUUAAUUAAAACAAAAUUUCAAUGGUUUAUUCAAUGAAAUUUUUAAUCGAUUAAAUUGAAUGCACAUGUAAAUAGAUAGUUUUUGUUCCAACACGAGUUAAACAGUUAAUUUUCCUUUUUAAAAUUAUCAUAAUAUUCUCAAUUCAAAGUUAGCCUUUUGCGAGAAGAGAAGUUACUAAGAAGAUAUUAAUUGAGAAAUUGAAAAAAAAAAACACAAAAUAAUUGUAUAAGAAAAGAUGAAACUAUAAAAAAUAUAGAUAAGAUUUACCCUUAAAAUCUUUCAAGCGCAUACAAGACACAUAUAGCUAGACUGAGACACAAGACAUAUAUAGCUAGACUACUUAAGACAUAUAUUGUUAGUAACUUCUUGGGCAUUCAAUUGAUAACAAAUAAUAACUAUAGUCACUUACAUGGAAUGACUGUAUUGUCAACAGAUAAUUAAAUUAGAUCUAAUGCUUUUCAUUAUUCAAUGAGGAUAUAGGUAAAUGAUAUUCUAUUUGACAUUGACUUGAACCCCUUGGUGCAUCGAGAAUGCUUGCUAUUACUUUACUGCUUACAGCUCUUGCACUGCAUACAACCAGCUUCUUCAAUGCCAAUCCAUUCCUCAAAAAGUAUUUCACAACUUCCACAUCUUUCUUUCGAAAUCUAUUAAUCUGAACUGUCUCAAGGUUGCAUGACAAACAAGCAGCGGGCGGUGCAUUCCACCUGUCGUUGCGACCCAGCUUGUAUGGAAAUUUCUGACAGAAAUAGAAUGAAUCCAAUCAAUCCUCGGAUCAUGCAGGGAAUAAGAGAAAUUGAUGUACUGAUUCAAUAUGCAUGUCCUGAACUUACCUUUUCCAACACCAAGGAAGUCAAAUUAGGUGAAUGGUCUAGCAGGAGAGGCAAAGCUUGACAGUCAUACAUAUAAUCAACUUCAACCACAAGAUGUGUCAAAUUCUGGAAAAGAGGUGGAUUCUCAUGUUCCCUGAUAAGUCCAAGGCUCAGCAACAUCUAUCAUAUAUAAAAGAUUCAGUCACUGAAGGAAACAUAUAUGGGGAAAAACGAGAGAGCACGUGAGAAAGGCAGAGAAGGGACGUACAUUGUCUUCGUAUAUCUCCAGCUGCUUUACCUUGUUAUAGAUGGUCGUCAAAAGCUUGGAGGUGGGAGCCCUAUUAGGCUCAGUGACAUUGAUGCUUUCUGCAUCGAGGGACAAUAGAUUAUUCUGACAAUCACCUUGUAUCAUAGAACCUCUAAGGUAUUUUACAUGUAGUCGUGAUCCCUCGAAGCAAUCUUCUAUAUGGAACAUUUCAAGCACAGGGACAGCAGAGAGAAGCUUGUUGAAGACGUAAUCGUCCAAGAUAGAGAUUGAUACAAGCUUGAGGGUCUUAAGACAUGGAAACACCGCGUCAGCAGGGAUGCCAUCGACUAUUUUACAACCAGCCAAUUUUAGAGAUUUCAGUCUUCGACACGAAAAAACUAUACAAGGUAAAUUAACAUAACGAAUUUUAUGAACGUUAUUUGCGAAGAUAUCAAGCUCCUCAAGAGUAGACACA
rnacentral:lncRNA from 1 species